UACGGAGGAUCCAAGCGUUAUCCGGAAUUACUGGGCGUAAAGAGUUGCGUAGGUGGCAUAGUAAGUAGGUAGUGAAAGCGUUCGGCUCAACCGGAUACACAUUACCUAAACUGCUAAGCUCGAGGAUGAGAGAGGUUAUUGGAAUUCCCUGUGUAGGAGUGAAAUCCGUAGAUAUAGGGAGGAACACCGAUGGCGUAGGCAGAUAACUGGCUCAUUCCUGACACUAAGGCACGAAAGCGUGGGGAGCAAACGGGA
rnacentral:rRNA from 1 species